rfam:Trichobilharzia regenti genome assembly, scaffold: TRE_scaffold0004528
AUCUAGACUGACGAGUCCCAAAUAGGACGAAAUGCGCAUCCUGGAU